AAUAGAUACCCCGGUAGUCCACGCCCUAAACGAUGUCUACUAGUUGUUGGUGGAGUAAAAUCCAUUAGUAACGCAGCUAACGCGUGAAGUAGACCGCCUGGGGAGUACGGUCGCAAGAUUAAAACUCAAAGGAAUUGACGGGGCCCGCACAAGCGGUGGAUUAUGUGGAUUAAUUCGAUGCAACGCGAAAAACCUUACCUGGCCUUGACAUGCCACUAACGAAGCAGAGAUGCAUUAGGUGCCCGAAAGGGAAAGUGGACACAGGUGCUGCAUGGCUGUCGUCAGCUCGUGUCGUGAGAUGUUGGGUUAAGUCCCGCAACGAGCGCAACCCUUGCCAAUAAUUGCCAUCAUUCAGUUGGGCACUUUAUUGGGACUGCCGGUGACAAACCGGAGGAAGUGGGGAUGACGUCAAGUCCUCAUGGCCCUUAUGGCCAGGGCUUCACACGUAAUACAAUGGUCGGUACAGAGGGUAGCCAAGCCGCGAGGUGGAGCCAAUCCCAGAAAGCCGAUCGUAGUCCGGAUUGCAGU
rnacentral:rRNA from 1 species